CAGUGAGUCACUGUACCAAGUGUGUAUCUGGUACUCAGACAUGGGAGAGCUUGUCCGUGGUGCCUGUCAUCGGCUGGUUAAUUCUCUCCUCCAACCAAGUCAUGAGAGGCAAGUGUCUUAGCCACUAAGCCACUUCUCCAGCCCCGAAGAAAUAUUUUAAACACUGGUAGAGAACAGCAGCAAGAAUGCCUGUCUCUCCAGUGAAAGGCUACACCGUGGCUAUCAUAACCAUGUGGAAAGGGGAAUUUGUACAGUGAUGCACAGAAAUAAACAUGACCGAUAACUGCAGCAUUUGGCACAUAUGGAACUGCGUAGGUAUCAAGGGUGAGUCAGAAAGGAAAGGCCAUGGAGCCAGCGGAUGAAAGGUGAACACUGGGCUUAACCUAAUUUGCAUCGCCAACUAUUCACAGGAUAAAUUCACAUGCUAAAUUAAACAAAUAUGGUAAGUUAUUGGGUAAAAACUCUCAGGUCUAGCUGGGCAUGGUGGCACAUGCUUUUAAUUCCAGCGC